GAAGACCUUGGAGAAGCAAGCCACAGUGAGACAGGGAACAACAUUUCAUAUCUGCUCGGGGCCAAGGGAGGAGGUCCUCUGCUCGCCGUGCCAGCAGCCACUCUGGGGAUCGAAGUAUCUCAACAGCACUCUGACACUCACCACACCCAGCUCUGCAACAGCCACCACCCCAUGCUGUGCCAGCCCAGAUAACCCUGUUACACAAUGGAGAAAUGAAACCUCCUGGAAAGGAUGCAGCAUGUUGUUACAGUAAACACUGCAUAAAGAGCUUUGUUUCUAACUGCUUAAGCGAGGUAGCUGUAAGAUGAAAGUCCUUCCCUUUGCAUCUGAAGCAUAAUAAAGGAAAAAGAAGAGCUGUUGUAGAAGGUGGGUGGAGACAUCAAUUAAUUAAUUAAGAGAGGAGGUGAGGAGAAAGCAGAAAGGUUUUUACCCAGUAAAUUCCAGCACAUUUUUCAUCAGGUAUA